rnacentral:rRNA from 1 species
UGGGGAAUUUUGGACAAUGGGGGCAACCCUGAUCCAGCCAUGCCGCGUGCGGGAAGAAGGCCUUCGGGUUGUAAACCGCUUUUAGUCGGGAAGAAAAGGCGUCGUCUAAUAAACGGCGUUCUUGACGGUACCGGCGGAAUAAGCACCGGCUAACUACGUGCCAGCAGCCGCGGUAAUACGUAGGGUGCGAGCGUUAAUCGGAAUUACUGGGCGUAAAGCGUGCGCAGGCGGUUCGUUAAGUUCGAUGUGAAAGCCCCGGGCUCAACCUGGGAACUGCAUUGGAAACUGGCGAGCUUGAGUGUGGCAGAGGGGGGUGGAAUUCCGCGUGUAGCAGUGAAAUGCGUAGAGAUGCGGAGGAACACCGAUGGCGAAGGCAGCCCCCUGGGCCAACACUGACGCU